UAUUGCAUUUGUCCUUAAACUAAUUAUUUUUGUUCUUACCACGAAAUUAAUUUCAUAGAAUCUCUGAUUUCAAGAUUAGGUAAGAACAUUUUAGACAUUUGCAAUUAAAUCGGAUUUUUUAUGAAAAGUAUUUAUUUAUUUUACACUUAGUAAUAUAUCUUGAAUAUCAACAUCAUAUUUGACAAGUGCAUUUGGUAUAAAUAUAUAUCUCCAUUUCAUUUAUAAUCAUUGUAUAAUUCCAAAAUAAAUAUUUUAAACUGAUUAUACUAAUUGAAGAAACUUAUUUGAUACCAAAAAUUUAUUUAUUCAAAUUUAUUUAUUUUUAAGUACUAGGUACCCGGACAUUUGUUAUAUAGAGUCAGAUAACAGACUGUAAUAAUAAAUCAUGCAUUUAAAAUACAUAGAUACACAAAACAUUUUGAAAAUCAUUCAAAAACAAUGUAUUAAGAUUAUAAGGAAGUCAUAUUUUAUUAUUUUUGUUAAUGUAUCUUGUAAAUUUAAUUUGAAUCGGAAAAUAACUGAAGUAGUUAUAUCUAAUCUUUUCUUAGAUAAUUUUUAUUAACUUUGUGCUUACUCAUACAUUACUACAAUCUCAGUAUAGAAUGAAACAUGGCGGCGUUACCUGUGAGGUUUCUUUCAGUUGCACAUGCAUUUACCAAGAAAACAUCAUUCAAUUUUUAUAAGCAUAAUAUACAAAUAGCGUGUACAACAACGGCACGAGCAUUUUCAAUGAAAACAAAUUCAAAUUUUGAGGAAAAGAAGAUCAAUGUCAAUGGCUUCGAUAUUAACUAUGUCAAAGUUGGUGUUGGUGACCAUACAGUCCUUUUAUUACCUGGUGCCUUAGGAACUGCCUGGACUGACUUUAAACCUCAACUGGAAAAUCUUGAUAAAAAUAAAUUAACCAUAGUAGCAUGGGAUCCACCUGGAUAUGGAAAAUCGAGACCACCUGACAGAAUAUUUUCUGAUGACUUUUUUCAACGCGAUGCCGAUUAUGCUUUUAAUUUAAUGAAAACUUUAGGAUAUAAAAAAUUUUCUUUAAUUGGUUGGAGUGAUGGUGGUAUCACAUCUCUCAUACUUGCUGCUAAAAAUCCUGAUAACAUUCGUAAGAUGGUCGUAUUUGGUGCGAAUUCUUACAUCAUUCCCGAAGAACUCAAAAUUUACGAAAGUAUUAGAAACAUCGACACGUGGUCGGAAAAAAUGAAACAACCAAUGAUUGAAGUUUAUGGAGAAGAGUAUUUUAGAAAUACUUGGUCCAGUUGGGUAGAUACUAUGAAAAAAAUUUACGAAAAAAACAAGGGUGAUAUAUGUAAAAACGAUUUGCCUAAAAUAAAGUGCCCUACUUUAAUUAUACAUGGGGCUAAAGAUGUUAUUGUAAAGCCAGAACAUCCAGAUUAUUUAAAAGAUCAUAUACUAAAUUCCAAAGUUACAAUAUUUGAAAAAGGAGCUCAUAAUUUACAUUUAAGAUAUCAAGACGAAUUUAAUGCCUUGACAACGAAGUUCCUAACUGAAGAUUAAAAAUAUCUUUUAUAUUGUCAUUUUUUUAAUAAGGACAAGUUUUACUAUAUUUGUACGUAUUCUAUUACUUCUACAUAGACAUAUAAUUGAAAUCUUCAUCCUACGAAGAGCGUGCAGGUCAGACAUAUUUAUCUUACUUAGGAACCUAGUAUCAUAACCGGAUCGUUGAACGUCACAAGUGAGAAAGGUAUAGAACUCGAAAUCGUUUUUGGUCGUGGCUCGCCGAAAGAGGCUUAACGUUUCCUUUGCCCACGCUGUAUCGCGAUUCUCCUUUCUCUGCUUGAGUUCUGAUGCCGGUUAUCCCACGUACGUCCUCCGUGCCAGGUCAUACGAUCGACGUGCCCGGUCGUAGCGAACCGACUAAGUACCUAGAGUGGUGCCUCUUAAAAAACAUAAAUCAAGUGUCACGGUAUUGAAUUUCACCUCUUCUAUAGCUCCUCUUUUCUAUUCUAAGAUGUUCGAACGAACAACAGUCUUAGCAAAUUGCUAUUGAUCCAUACUCCAUAAUAAAGAAUCUCUCUUACAAGUUUGUCAGCAUUUUUCUUCUUUAGCCAAACGAGCGAUAUUAUUUUUAAUUUCACAAAUAUUUCAUUAUUUUGAAGUCUUAUUAAAAGUUACAAGUAAUGAACGUGAUAAGUCAAAGGACAUAUAAUUGAUCAAAUCAUUUUAUUAAUUGUCCUAGAUUACUUUCUAUUUCUAUUACAAGAUUAACAAGAUUAUUAUUACGAUAACAAGCUGUUGUAAGUACGGGAAGUGUCGCUUAUGUAAUGCCAAGGCUAUGGAGUCAUUUGAUGAAGGUGAUUUUUAUGAAGGCGUUUACUUACGAGCUUCAUCGAGCUUUAAUAGAAAAACAUUGAACGAUGUCAUUUGCGAGGUUGCGUUUAAAGAGAGAGAAAGAGAGAAAGAGAGAGAGAGAGAGAGAGAGAGAGAGAGAGAGAGAGAGUGAAAGAGUACAACGAAUUCAACGAGCUAAUAAAGAAGUUCCUCUCGGGGCAGACAUAGUUCGACUAGUAGCUAUUUUCGUCGUAUGAAUAACAAAGAUUGCCAUAAAAACUUGAAAGCUCGUAAAGAGUAGUACGAUGCAAGUGAACUUUACAAGACGACGUAUAGGGUAAACGCAAGUCGAUAACUCGCGUGUACUCUCGCACAUGAGCGUACACACAUACAUAUAUAGACUUUGCUAACGCAUCGGUGUAUGUUUUAAAAAGGACGACCGUUUCCACGACGUCGACCAUUCCACUUGGACUCUGCUUGUUCGUUCGUUCGUCCGUUUUCUCGGCUCGUUUCUUUUCUGCCAACGACGUCGUAUAACUUUACGUAUAUACCGUUGCACUCACGCUCUCGACGUUAUAAAUUGCAAUUUCUCCGGCCACCAAAAGUGUAGGGCCGAGGAACCAUGGAGAGACUCCUCCCACACUCGUGCUUGAUAAAUUCGCAGAAGACGCAACGAUGGUUGAAAACAUUUUAUAAGAUUACAUAGUUGUUUGCAAA